rnacentral:lncRNA from 1 species
GUGUGAUUGUUUUGUCUGGAAAAAAAAAUCCAAAGUAUAUAACAAGGGGAGAACAGUUAGUGCUGAUUUUCAUUUGCAUACAUUUUCAUAUAUUUUGGUGAAAAUAAUAGACUAGUGCGAGCUGGGCUUAGAGGACUCAGUGUAAAGGGAAGGCUUAGGCUCUGACGGUGCUGGAGAGUUAAGAAUGUGCCUUCCCUCCACCCCCACCCCAGGCACCUUAUUUAAAAAAAAACAAAAAACACCUUCUUUUAUUUAAAAAAAAAAAUCUAACCUUGGAAGUUUGCUCGUUAUUUAGUCAAAGAAAAUGCAAACCAACAUUUGAAACAUUUUCACCAGACCUUCGCUGGGAUUCCACCUCUAAAAGAUGAGAGGAGCAGAACCAGUGCCAAGAUAGAAGCACUUUCCUGUGAGAAGUAUCCUUUUAACACACACACACACACACACACACACACACGCACAUGCACACGCACGAGUGCGCACAUUUUCCCAGUGAUGGGGACUAUUGAAUUCAGGGCCUCAUGCCUGCUAGGCAAAUGCUCUGCCACUGAGCUAUACUGCCAGGCCUUUUAAGGACAUUUUAUUUUGAGACAGGAUCUUCCUAAGGUGCCCAGGCUGGUUUUGAAUUUAGGAUCCACUUGCUUUAGCCUCCUGAGUAGCUGAGAUUAUAGGUAUAUGCCACUAGGCUUAACUUCCUUCUUUAUACAGUGGUACCUCAGUUCAUGAACUUAAUUCUUUCCAUGAUUCUGAUUGUAAACUGAAUUGGAUGAGAACCAAAUCAAAUUCAAUGGUUAGGUUUGAUGUCGACCUUAUGGGGAAAUUUAAUUUGGUUCUCAUGCAAUUUGGUUUGCAAUCAGAAUCAUGGAAAGAAUGGUUUGUGAACCGAGGCACCACUGUAUUCUCUUAAAAGUUAAAAUGUAAAUAAAUAAGUAUAAUUUAAUAUAGUAAUUAAAUAUGCACAUAGCAUGUCUGAGUAAGUGUUUACCAGUGUCCUUCCCUUUCAGGCCCCUGCAUUUUAACAUAGACUUGCCAGAGGAAGCUGGCUCAUGUGCAUUUUGUGAAGGAAAGUGAGCAGCAUGGGGUUGUCCACUGGAGACUCCAUAUGGCACACUGCAGUAUGCUCCUGUGUCCAAGGCUGAAACUUAGAACCAUAUCUCAGUUCUGGAUCUGGCAUCCAGGCCCAUCUUGAUCCUGGGUUUAGGAGACAGCCUAUAGCAUGCAGCUCCCUUUGAGACAUGUGACAAGCAUGUGGAUAAAGACCCAGAGUCUUCAAAGCUAAUUUCACCUCUGACAUCUGACCUCUUCAGUCAAUAUCCCUCAGUACUGGGUAUCUCAUAGGUCCCUGUUCCUCCUUCCCUGUGUCCUAUUGUCCUAGUUCAGACCCCACCUCUGUCACUCAUUGCCGGGACCACAGAACCAGUGGGAUCCUAGCCUUCAACUCUUCCUCUUCCCCACCAUUCCCACACUCACUCUAAAUGGGAAGCUGAUAGUUUGCCCCUUGCUGAAAAUUGUGCAGUGGUUUUACGUUGCUCUACAAGAUGAUUCGAUUCAGCAUCUGUCCUUCCAGGGUAUUUCAGUCUGCUUAGGUAGCAUCACACAAUACCUUGGACUAGAUGAUUUACAAUCAGUAAAAAUUUACUGUGCAUGGUUCUGAAGGUGGUGAAGUCCAGGAUCUGGCUCCUGAAAGACUGCAUGACUGGGACAGCAGAGGAAGAGGGAUAAAGUGCCUGGAUAUGUGCAUUCAUCGAGUGUCCUGAAGAUGCUCCUUCUGACUGGAAGAGCUGAAGAGACAAGACUUUUCACUAAGUGAUAUUUUUGAUGCAGUCUAAGGAUUUAUCUCAAAAUCCCAGUCACAUUACUUCCUGAGAACAAAAGGUCUGCUGAAGUUGCCUGAUGAAAAGUCCAGCCUUCCAGAAUCUUCCAUUCUACAAGUGCUACCUACAGUGACUCUGAGAGAUUGAUUAUUUAUUACGGAGAUGGGAAGAAAAGGAAACGACCAGCCCGUCACACGUCCCUGGCCCAGAUCUGCCAGUCUCUCUCUUCCCGGUCUCAGGAAACUGUGCUGACAGUCCUCGAGGUGCGGUGGGGAGCCCCUGGCAACCACUCACCUGCUUUCUGUCUGUGUGGAUUGACCUGUUCUGGAUAUUUCCUGCAAAAGGAAUGCUGAAUUUUAGUACCGGGCUUCUUUUCCUUCCUGUAAUGUUUUUGGAAUCCAUCCACAUUGUUGAGUGUAUCAGUGUAUCAGUACUUCACUUAUUGUACAGCUGAGUAAUUCCAUGGCACUUGUCCCUGGUUUUGUAAGUAAGGUUUUCCUGGACAAAGCUGUCCCCAUUACUUUACAUACUGUCUACCACUGCUUUUGCAUUUAAUGGCAGACCUGGGUAGUUGUCAAAGAGAACAUGCAGCCUGCAAAGACUUAAGUCUGUACUGUCUAGCCCUUUACUGAGAAGAAUUGCAGAUCUUUGCUAUAGUAAUAAUUUUGGGGAACUUUGUCAUGAUGCUGUGCAUGGAAAUUCUAAAGUUUCAAUAGGAUUUAUUUAUUUUUUAUCAUGAUAUAAUUUUAAGGUUCAGCUGAAGGAAGAAAGGUUACACAACUUUUGGAAAGGGAGAGUUGUUAGAGGUACCUGCCCUCCAGGAUUGUGCAGUACAGCCUGGACUGUCCUGGCUCAAGGAGGUGGAACUCAUGCAGGAGUAGACAGACCAUAGACAGGACUGGGAAGAUAGGGAAGGGACCCAUAACAGAUGUGGAAGAAAUCUGGCCAGACUGGAAGGACGCUGGACAAUUGGGAGUGACACCAGCCAUGUGGAAGAUGGGUUGCUGGAUCUGCCUCUACUCUGAAGUGAAUUCCAGAGGAAUAAAAUACUUCAGUGUGUAACAAAGGAGUUGCACAUACCAGGAGAAAAUAUUGACAUCCAUCUUACUAAUCUUGUAGGAGAAAAAUUCUUUUAAGCUUCACAGAAAAAGGCAAUGCAAAGCAAAAAAUUGAUCAAUGUGGCUUUUCAAUAAAGUGGCCUAAAAUGUAAAACUUGUCCAUGGCAAAAGCACUGUAAGUAAAACUUAUAGGAUGGAACCAGAUUAACCUGGGAAAAGUAUUGUUUUGUUAUAGAUAAAGAGUUACUGAGUCCAAUAAUAUAAUUUAUUUGUCUCUUGCAAAUGAAUGAGAAUCUGAAGAGUGCACAAUAAAUAAGGGAGAAACAUGGUACAAACCGGGACAAAGGCAACUCACCAGCAAGUGCACUAUGGUGGGUGUUCAACCUUGUAAAUAAUUGGUCUAAAUUUUAUUGAUGUAAAUUUACACAUGUCUUUUUUUGUUGUUUGUUUGAGUGACAAGGUGAAAAAAAUUGAGAAACCCCAGUGACAAUAAGGUUGUGGGAAAAGUGGCUUUUAAGACUCGGUUGCAGUAACUCUGUUUGUAGGGAAAUCUGAUUUCAGAUCAUAGUUUGAACUGCACAGGCCUUUUUUUGGUAUCGGGGAUUGAACUUGGACCUUGCACUUGGGAAGCAGAUGCGGAGCCACUGAGCUAAAUCCUUGGCCCUACACAGGCCUUUUGAUCCUGCAUCAUUGUGCCUUGGGCCUUCAUUUUUAGAAACUAAGUUUUCUUUCAGCUGUGAAAAGCUAGAAACUAUCUUGUCUCAAUGUUCAUCAGUAGAUUUGAUAAAAGAAUGUGUUGGACAUCCCUAUAAUGGGUCCCAAGGAGCCACUGAAAAUGAGGCAGAAUUUCCAACAGUCCUAUCUAUUGUAAGUGUCCUCCUUGUUCUUUACCAAUCUUGGGAUUUUGCUUGGCUUCCUCUUUAAUUGAGAAACAUUUUCCCCUGGAUUCAUUAAGGUGCAAACUUAGUGAAAAUGAUGGACAUUUGGAGAUUUUACUUAUUUAUUUUUACUAGCUAAUGAUUUUACAGGUAUUACACUUAACACUAUAGUAAUAAAGACUUCACACAAAUCCAUGCUUCAUAGCCAUGGACUUAAGCUCGUGAGUGUAUGUGUUGUGUGUGCAUGCAUAUGUGCAUCAGCAUGCUUGUGUACCCGUGUGUGUCUGUGUGUGCACAUGUGCACAUGUGUCUGGUUGUUUGUGUGUGAUCCUGGAGUGCCAGCAUCCAGCUGAGUAUGCAGCCAGCUGGAGGACUUGCUCUGGUUCUCUUUUAAGACAGUCUCAGGGGAUUAAUAAAGCAAGUAAGGAUAUAAUCUGUCUCCUCCAGGAGAAGACCUUUCUGCCCGUAGGAUCCCUUGUUUUUUGAAUACAGCAGUGUGGAAUGUGGAUGCCAAGGGAAAAUUUGUUAUUUGGAGACAAACCUUACAGUGUGACUCAACCCUUUGGAAAUCCCUGUGCACCUUUCCCUCUGUUCCUGGUAACUUAUUGGCCUCUUCCACCUCUGGCUUCUAUUGCUCCUGCUGACUGUCCCUGCCUGCCUGCUGCUGCACUUUACCUCCAUCCUCCUUCCAUCCUGAGUCUCUGGCACAGAAGGCAGCAUGUGUCCCCUUCUGUCUCACAGACACAGAAGCUAUUAAAGCAUAGGUUACCUAGAGCAGUGGUUCCCAAACUUUUUCUGAUCACCCUUAUUACUAAAAUAUUUUGGCAUGAACACCCAAGGCAUACAUACCUAUAUAUUGUAUGUUCCCACUAUUGUGUGAAUUUAUUGUAUACAUUAUGCAAUAUAUAAAAAGGUGAAAGUUUAAAAGGAUGAGAUUUUAAAAAAGAUAAAAAUUCGAAUCUUUUCUCCAUGUACUUAACAAAGCUCCUUUGGUGGCUGAUAGACCAGAGAUGGGAAGGACAUUGGAAGGCUCCCUUUAGGGGGCUCAAUGGCACUGCAAACUCUGUCCUCCCCAAGGGCCAGGAUUCCUUCCCCAGCAGUUGGCCCAGGUCCUGCUGUCCACUGUGCACCAUAGGUGUGGCUGCAAAUGACCAGAAGUCUUUUCUGCUGCACUUUCUUUCCUGGCCUCUGCUCAUUCACACACUUCCUGCUACUCUCUGAGUUGCCUUUGGGUCCACUGUCUCCUGGUGAGGACUUGCCUGGCUCACCAAAUCCUAAGUCACACACACAGGUCCAACCCCUGUGUCUCCCGGAUGGGCCGAGGCCACAGCCUCAGCCAUUUUAAACUUGGGGUUCUCCCCACAGCUGUACACACAAUGGCUGCUCAUCACUAAGGACCUUGGUCAUGAACACCUGUUCUGAGGUCUCAUGUAGUUUACCAACUCUUAAAUGGCACAGAGAAGCAAAGAUGCUGCAUACCACAUGUGUGGGAGAGAAAAGUCCAUCCCUGAUGGGUGGCCUCAAGAUACCAGUUACAUGGGGACAGAGAGUUUGCAACCAGUCCAAAGUCUGACACCAAGAGCAGUGCCCGGCCCCGGAACAGUUUUUUUGGAGGAGUGAAUGACUUGGAUCAGUACACUCAGGACCUCUGCCAUGCUUGCUUCCGUGUGGGGUAUGAAGAAACAUUAUAAUGCACAUCAGGGAGAUUUUUCCUCCAAACUGGGAGACAAAAUGUA